AUUGAACGCUGGCGGCAGGCCUAACACAUGCAAGUCGAACGGUAACAGGAAGAAGCUUGCUUCUUCGCUGACGAGUGGCGGACGGGUGAGUAAUGUCUGGGAAACUGCCUGAUGGAGGGGGAUAACUACUGGAAACGGUAGCUAAUACCGCAUAACGUCGCAAGACCAAAGAGGGGGACCUUCGGGCCUCUUGCCAUCGGAUGUGCCCAGAUGGGAUGAGCUCGUUGGUGGGGUAACGGCUAACCAAGGCGACGAUCCCUAGCUGGUCUGAGAGGAUGACCAGCCACCCUGGAACUGAGACACGGUCCAGACUCCUACGGGAGGCAACAGUGGGGAAUAUUGCACAAUGGGCGCAAGCCUGAUGCAGCCAUGCCGCGUGUAUGAAGAAGGCCUUCGGGUUGUAAAGUACUUUCAGCGGGGAGGAAGGGAGUAAAGUUAAUACCUUUGCUCAUUGACGUUACCCGCAGAAGAAGCACCGGCUAACUCCGUGCCAGCCGCCGCCGUAA
rnacentral:rRNA from 1 species